rnacentral:rRNA from 1 species
AGCGAACGCUGGCGGCAGGCCUAACACAUGCAAGUCGAACGAACUCUUCGGAGUUAGUGGCGGACGGGUGAGUAACACGUGGGAACGUGCCUUUUGGUUCGGAAUAACUCAGGGAAACUUGUGCUAAUACCGAAUGUGCCCUUCGGGGGAAAGAUUUAUCGCCAUUAGAGCGGCCCGCGUCUGAUUAGCUAGUUGGUGAGGUAACGGCUCACCAAGGCGACGAUCAGUAGCUGGUCUGAGAUGAUGACCAGCCACACUGGGACUGAGACACGGCCCAGACCCUCAGGGGGGGGAGAAGGGGGGAAUUUGGCGAAAGGGGGGAAAGCUGGAGGGAGCCGUGCCGGGAGAAUGAGGAAGGUUUGAGGAUUGAAAAUUUUUUUCACGGGGGACGAUAAGGCGGGAACCGGGAAAAAAACCCCGGGCAAAUUCGGG